UACGUAGGGUCCGAGCGUUGUCCGGAAUUAUUGGGCGUAAAGGGCUCGUAGGCGGUUUGUCACGUCGGAAGUGAAAACUCAGGGCUCAACCCUGAGCGUGCUUACGAUACGGGCAAACUAGAGGUAUUCAGGGGAGAACGGAAUUCCUGGUGUAGCGGUGGAAUGCGCAGAUAUCAGGAGGAACACCGGUGGCGAAGGCGGUUCUCUGGGAAUUACCUGACGCUGAGGAGCGAAAGCAUGGGGAGCGAACAGG
rnacentral:rRNA from 1 species